rnacentral:rRNA from 1 species
CCUACGGGAGGCAGCAGUGAGGAAUAUUGGUCAAUGGGCGAGAGCCUGAACCAGCCAAGUCGCGUGAGGGAGUACUGCCCUAUGGGUUGUAAACCUCUUUUGUCGGGGAGCAAAAGCCGGACGUGUCCGGCUGUGAGAGUUCCCGAAGAAAAAGCAUCGGCUAACUCCGUGCCCGCAGCCGCGGUAAUACGGGGGAUGCGAGCGUUUACCGGAUUUAUUGGGUUUUAAGGGUGCGCCGGCGGGUUUUUAAGUCAGCGGUAAAAUCGUGGGGCUCAACCCCAUCCAGCCGUUGUAACUGGGGAUCUAGAGUGUGCGAGAGGUAUGCGGAAUGCGUGGUGUAGCGGUGAAAUGCAUAGAUAUCACGCAGAACCCCGAUUGCGAAGGCAGCAUACCGGUGCACAACUGACGCUCAGGCACGAAAGCGUGGGUAUCUAACAGGAUUAGAUACCCGAGUAGUC